UACGUAGGUGGCAAGCGUUUGUCCGGAUUUACUGGGCGUAAAGAGCGCGCAGGCGGUCGUUCAAGUCGCGUGUGAAAAGCCCCCGGCUCAACUGGGGAGGGUCAUUCGAUACUGUUCGACUCGAAGGCAGGAGAGGGAAGUGGAAUUCCCGGUGUAGUGGUGAAAUGCGUAGAUAUCGGGAGGAACACCAGUGGCGAAGGCGACUCACUGGCCCGGUACUGACGCUGAGGUGCGAAAGCGUGGGGAGCAAACAGG
rnacentral:rRNA from 1 species